rnacentral:rRNA from 1 species
CAUGGCUCAGAUUGAACGCUGGCGGCAUGCUUUACACAUGCAAGUCGAACGGUAACAGGGAGCUUGCUCCGCUGACGAGUGGCGAACGGGUGAGUAAUAUAUCGGAACGUACCCAAGAGUGGGGGAUAACGUAGCGAAAGUUACGCUAAUACCGCAUACGAUCUAUGGAUGAAAGCAGGGGACCUUCGGGCCUUGUGCUCCUGGAGCGGCCGAUAUCUGAUUAGCUAGUUGGUGAGGUAAAGGCUCACCAAGGCGACGAUCAGUAGCUGGUCUGAGAGGACGACCAGCCACACUGGAACUGAGACACGGUCCAGACUCCUACGGGAGGCAGCAGUGGGGAAUUUUGGACAAUGGGCGCAAGCCUGAUCCAGCAAUGCCGCGUGAGUGAAGAAGGCCUUCGGGUUGUAAAGCUCUUUUGUCAGGGAAGAAACGGCUGUGGCUAAUAUCCACGGCUAAUGACGGUACCUGAAGAAUAAGCACCGGCUAACUACGUGCCAGCAGCCGCGGUAAUACGUAGGGUGCAAGCGUUAAUCGGAAUUACUGGGCGUAAAGCGUGCGCAGGCGGUUUUGUAAGUCUGUCGUGAAAUCCCCGGGCUCAACCUGGGAAUUGCGAUGGAGACUGCAAGCUAGAAUCUGGCAGAGGGGGGGUAGAAUUCCACGUGUAGCAGUGAAAUGCGUAGAGAUGUGGAGNAACACNGAUGGCGAAGNNNNCCCNUGGGUCAAGAUUGACGCUCAUGCACGAAAGCGUGGGAGCAAACAGGAUUAGAUACCCUGGUAGUCCACGCCCUAAACGAUGUCUACUAGUUGUCGGGUUUUAAUUAACUUGGUAACGCAGCUAACGCGUGAAGUAGACCGCCUGGGGAGUACGGUCGCAAGAUUAAAACUCAAAGGAAUUGACGGGGACCCGCACAAGCGGUGGAUGAUGUGGAUUAAUUCGAUGCAACGCGAAAAACCUUACCUACCCUUGACAUGUCAGGAAGACCGGAGAGAUCUGGUUGUGCCCGAAAGGGAACCUGAACACAGGUGCUGCAUGGCUGUCGUCAGCUCGUGUCGUGAGAUGUUGGGUUAAGUCCCGCAACGAGCGCAACCCUUGUCAUUAGUUGCUACGCAAGAGCACUCUAAUGAGACUGCCGGUGACAAACCGGAGGAAGGUGGGGAUGACGUCAAGUCCUCAUGGCCCUUAUGGGUAGGGCUUCACACGUCAUACAAUGGUACAUACAGAGGGCCGCCAACCCGCGAGGGGGAGCUAAUCCCAGAAAGUGUAUCGUAGUCCGGAUCGUAGUCUGCAACUCGACUACGUGAAGUUGGAAUCGCUAGUAAUCGCGGAUCAGCAUGCCGCGGUGAAUACGUUCCCGGGUCUUGUACACACCGCCCGUCACACCAUGGGAGCGGGUUUUACCAGAAGUAGGCAGCUUAACCGCAAGGAGG